ACCUUUGACAUGUACGGAAUCCUUUAGAGAUAGAAAGUUACUUCGGUACAUCGGUGACAGGUGGUGCAUGGUUGUCGUCAGCUCGUGUCGUGAGAUGUUGGGUUAAGUCCCGCAACGAGCGCAACCCCUAUUGUUAGUUGCCAUCAUUCAGUUGGGCACUCUAGCGAGACUGCCGGUAAUAAACCGGAGGAAGGUGGGAUGACGUCAAAUCAUCAUGCCCCUUAUGACCUGGGCUACACACGUGCUACAAUGGUUGGUACAACGAGUUGCGAGUCGGUGACGGCGAGCUAAUCUCUUAAAGCCAAUCUCAGUUCGGAUUGUAGGCUGCAACUCGCCUACAUGAAGUCGGAAUCGCUAGUAAUCGCGGAUCAGCACGCUGCGGUGAAUACGUUCCCGGGCCUU
rnacentral:rRNA from 1 species